UGCCCUAGUACGGCGAGUGAAGCGGCAACAGCUCAGAUUUGAAAUCUGGCCCUUCUGGGUCCGAGUUGUAAUCUGUAGAGGAUGCUUUUGGUGAGACGCCUUCUGAGUCCCCUGGAACGGGGCGCCAUAGAGGGUGAGAGCCCCGUACGGUUGGACGUCAAACCUCUGUAAAGCACCUUCGACGAGUCGAGUAGUUUGGGAAUGCUGCUCAAAGCGGGAGGUAAAUUUCUUCUAAAGCUAAAUAUUGGCCAGAGACCGAUAGCGCACAAGUAGAGUGAUCGAAAGAUGAAAAGCACUUUGAAAAGAGGGUUAAAAAGCACGUGAAAUUGUUGAAAGGGAAGCGUUUAUGACCAGACUUGUUACCUAUAGAUCAUCCAACGUUCUCGUUGGUGCACUCUAUGAGUUACAGGCCAGCAUCGGUUUUCUUUGGGGCAUAAAGGCUUUGGAAACGUAGCUCUUUCGGGAGUGUUAUAGUCCAUGGCAAAAUACCUUCAAGAGGACCGAGGACCGCGCAUUGCAAGGAUGCUGGCGUAAUGGUCAUCAGCGACCCGUCUUGAAACACGGACCAAGGAGUCAAGCAUUAGGGCGAGUGUUUGGGUGAAAAACCCGCACGCGAAAUGAAAGUGAACGCUGGUGAGAGCUUCGGCGCAUCAUCGACCGAUCCUGAAGUUUUCGGAUGGAUUUGAGUAAGAGCCUUAACGCUUGGACCCGAAAGAUGGUGAACUAUGCUUGUAUAGGGUGAAGCCAGAGGAAACUCUGGUGGAGGCUCGCAGCGGUUCUGACGUGCAAAUCGAUCGUCAAAUAUGAGCAUGGGGGGCGAAAGACUAAUCGAACCAUCUAGU
rnacentral:rRNA from 2 species